CCUACGGGAGGCAGCAGUGGGGAAUAUUGGACAAUGGGCGAAAGCCUGAUCCAGCAAUUCCGCGUGUGUGAAGAAGGCCUUCGGGUUGUAAAGCACUUUAGUGGGGGAAGAAACAGCUUGGCCACACCAAGCCUUGACGGUACCCCAAGAAUAAGCACCGGCUAACUCUGUGCCAGCAGCCGCGGUAAUACAGAGGGUGCAAGCGUUAAUCGGAUUUACUGGGCGUAAAGGGUGCGUAGGUGGCUAUUUAAGUCGGAUGUGAAAGCCCGGGGCUCAACCUCGGAAUUGCAUUCGAUACUGAGUGGCUAGAGUUCGGUAGAGGGCGGCGGAAUUUCCGGUGUAGCGGUGAAAUGCGUAGAUAUCGGAAGGAACAUCAAUGGCGAAGGCAGCCGCCUGGGCCUGGACUGACACUGAGGCACGAAAGCGUGGGUAGCAAACAGGAUUAGAUACCCUGGUAGUCCACGCCGUAAACGAUGAGAACUUGACGUUGGUUCGUUUUACGAAUCGGUGUCGCAGCUAACGCGAUAAGUUCUCCGCCUGGGGAGUACGGCCGCAAGGUUGAAACUUAAAGAGUAAGUCGCGUGNGAGNGCGACGAGCACAGGAGGUAG
rnacentral:rRNA from 1 species